rnacentral:rRNA from 1 species
GUUGAUCCUGCCGGAGGUCAUUGCUAUUGGGAUUCGAUUUAGCCAUGCUAGUUGUACGAGUUUAUACUCGUAGCGGAAAGCUCAGUAACACGUGGUCAAACUACCCUGUAGACCGUCAUAACCUCGGGAAACUGAGGCUAAUAACGGAUACGCAACAGCAGUUGGAAUACGCUGUUGAGAAAACGCUCAGGCGCUACAGGAUGUGGCUGCGGCCGAUUAGGUGGACGGUGGGGUAACGGCCCACCGUGCCAAUAAUCGGUACGGGUUGUGAGAGCAAGAGCCCGGAGACGGAAUCUGAGACAAGAUUCCGGGCCCUACGGGGCGCAGCAGGCGCGAAACCUUUACACUGCACGCCAGUGCGAUAGGGGGAUCCCAAGUGCGAGGGCAUAUUAGCCCUCGCUUUUGUGAACCGUAAGGCGGUUCACGAAUAAGAGCUGGGCAAGACCGGUGCCAGCCGCCGCGGUAAUACCGGCAGCUCGAGUGAUGACCGAUUUUAUUGGGCCUAAAGCGUCCGUAGCUGGCCGUACAAGUCCGUCGGGAAAUCUACCUGCCCAACAGGUAGGCGUCCGGCAGAAACUGUAUGGCUUGGAACCGGAAGGCGUGAAGGGUACGUCUGGGGUAGGAGUGAAAUCCUGUAAUCCCAGACGGACCACCGAUGGCGAAAGCACUUCACGAGGACGGAUUCGACAGUGAGGGACGAAAGCUAGGGUCUCGAACCGGAUUAGAUACCCGGGUAGUCCUAGCCGUAAAC